rnacentral:misc_RNA from 1 species
AAGUCGUAACAAGGUUUCCGUAGGUGAACCUGCGGAAGGAUCAUUAUUGAAAAUAUCAGAGACGGGUUGUCGCUGGCUUCAUUCGAGGCAUGUGCACGCCCCGAUCGAUCUUCAUACACCUGUGCACUUUUUGUAGGGCAUGGGAGGGAUGCGUCAGUGUCUCUCUCGGGCUCUACGUUUUUAACAUACCCCACAACGUAUUAGAAUGUCUUUGCUAUUCUGCUUCGCAGAAGAAUCAAAUACAA